rnacentral:antisense_RNA from 1 species
UCAUAACUGGAUCUUUCCAUUACUUGGUAGCACACAGGAGGAUUUGUUGGAGUGGUUUUUUGUUUUGUUUUGUUCUGCUACUAUUAAGCAAGAUUGCUUCAUAAUCCUUUAAGGGUUUUUUAGCCAAGUCUUAUUUACAUAUCCUGGCCAGCAAGCCCGUGAUUAACCCAAGGAUGUUGGAGGGAAGGCAGAUGCUACAUCUGAAAAAAAUCUGAUUAUGUUUCAUUCUGGAGACACAAACAGCCGAGCUGUCAAAAGGACAACAGUCUCUUGGGCCAACAUGACACCAAACUCUCAAACUCUGGAGACCCUCAGAGACAAGGAGGAGGAGCUGCUGAGUUCAAACAAGAACAAUGAAUUCCUCAAGUCCAAGCAAGAAUGUGACAAGGUGUCAACAAAGCCAACCAGGAAGGUGAUGUAUGGCCCAUAAAUCACUUCACAAACCAGGGCUGCAAAGAAAGCACUCAGCAACCCAGAGCCCCGAGUGUGAGGUUUUUCUACUCCUAAACCUUCACACCCCCCAUAUCCACCCUCCUCCAGCACCUCGCUGACUGCUCACCUGUCACUCCUCCACUGACCAAUUGGCCUACUCAUGGGCGUCAAGAUGGGAAGGCACAUGUUCCCAUCUUGACAGCAGCAGAAAGAAAAAUGGCAGCAGAAGGAAAACAGCAGCAGAAAGAAAAAUUUGACUCAGAUGGGUUGAGAGGGCAAUGGCAAGCAAUCUUGGUACAUGUCAGCUGCAUCUCAG